rnacentral:rRNA from 1 species
AUGAACGCUAGCGGCAGGCCUAAUACAUGCAAGCCGAACGGCAAGUUUGAUAGCAAUAUUGGACCUAGAGUGGCGCAAGGGUGCGUAACACGUAUGCAACCUGCCCGCGACAGGAGGAUAGCUCCCCGAAAGGGGAAUUAACCCUCCAUAACACCAUGAGAAGGCAUCUGAUUAUGGUUAAACCGCAAGGGGUCGCGGAUGGGCAUGCGGUUGAUUAGCUAGUUGGCGGGGUAAAGGCCCACCAAGGCGGUGAUCAAUAGGGGUUCUGAGAGGAAGGUCCCCCACACUGGCACUGGGAUACGGGCCAGACUCCUACGGGAGGCAGCAGUAGGGAAUAUUGGGCAAUGGUUGCAAGACUGAUCCAGCCAUGCCGCGUGCAGGAAGAAGGCCUUCUGGGUCGUAAACUGCUUUUUCCUGUGGAUAAAAUACCCGUGCGCGGGGAAUUGAAGGUAACAGGGGAAUAAGCCACGGCUAACUACGUG